rnacentral:rRNA from 1 species
GGCGAACGCUGGCGGCGUGCUUAACACAUGCAAGUCGAACGGAAAGGCCCUGCUUUCGUGGUACUCGAGUGGCGAACGCGUGAGUAACACGUGGGUGGUCUGUCCUGCACUUCGGGGUAAGCCUUGUAAACUGUGGCUUAUACCGGAUAGAAGCCAUCUUUAGUCUCAUGGUUUGAAAGUUUUUUCGGUGUUUGAUGCGCUCGCGGCCUAUCAGCUGUUUGGUGGGGUAAUGGUCUACCAAGGCGGCGACGGGUAGCCGGCCUGAGAGGGUGGACGGGCACAAUAGGACUGAGAUACGGGCCAGAAGCCUACGGGAGGCAACAGUGGGGAAUAUUGCACAAUGGGGGCGAGCCUGAUGCAGCGAUGCCGGGAGGGGGAUGACGGGCUUUGGGUUGAAAACGCUGCUCGCUAGGGAAGGAGCUUUUAGUGACGGUAACUAGAUAAGAAGCACCGGCUAACUACGUG